rnacentral:tRNA from 1 species
GGGGUUGUGGCUCAGUGGUAGAGCACUUGUCUAGCAUGUUUGAGGCUCUGAGUUUGAUUCUCAGCACCACA